rnacentral:rRNA from 1 species
ACGAACGCUGGCGGCGUGCUUAACACAUGCAAGUCGAACGGAAAGGCCCUGCUUUUGUGGGGUGCUCGAGUGGCGAACGGGUGAGUAACACGUGAGUAACCUGCCCUUGACUUUGGGAUAACUUCAGGAAACUGGGGCUAAUACCGGAUAGGAGCUCCUGCUGAAUGGUGGGGGUUGGAAAGUUUCGGCGGUUGGGGAUGGACUCGCGGCUUAUCAGCUUGUUGGUGGGGUAGUGGCUUACCAAGGCUUUGACGGGUAGCCGGCCUGAGAGGGUGACCGGCCACAUUGGGACUGAGAUACGGCCCAGACUCCUACGGGAGGCAGCAGUGGGGAAUAUUGCACAAUGGGCGGAAGCCUGAUGCAGCAACGCCGCGUGCGGGAUGACGGCCUUCGGGUUGUAAACCGCUUUCGCCUGUGACGAAGCGUGAGUGACGGUAAUGGGUAAAGAAGCACCGGCUAACUACGUG